GUGAAUUUUAGGGUGCUUCUUGCUUUAACACGCAAGAGGGCCUGACCUCCACUCCAACACUGUGCACUUAUCGGCGAAAGGUAAGGGAAGCUGCUGUCAUGGCUUGUGGAACUUCUUUUCGCGGCUUUACUUUAAAACACGAGUAAAAGAAUGUAAAAAAACCAUAACAAAA
rnacentral:misc_RNA from 1 species